rnacentral:tRNA from 1 species
CCCCCCGUCGCUUAAGGGAUAAAGCGCGGACCUCCUAAGUCUGAGCUGCAGGUUCGAGUCCUGCCGGGGGGG